GGGAAAAAUAUCAAAA
rnacentral:sRNA from 1 species